GGAGUAAAAGUCGUAACAAGGUUUCCGUAGGUGAACCUGCGGAAGGAUCAUUAUUGUAUAACCGAGGUGCGAGGGCUGUCGCUGACCCGAAAGGUCGUGCACGUCCGAGUGCCCUCACACACAUCCAUCUCACCCCUAUGUGCACCACCGCGUGGGUCCCCCUUUGGCUUGUUCGGAGGGGGGCUUACGUUUUCACACAAACUUUGUAUGCAGUGUAGAAUGUAUUUUUUGUUUUUGCGAUCACGCAAUCAAUACAACUUUCAACAACGGAUCUCUUGGCUCUC
rnacentral:misc_RNA from 1 species